UACAGAGGGUGCGAGCGUUAAUCGGAAUUACUGGGCGUAAAGCGUGCGUAGACGGUUAUCUAAGUCGGAUGUGAAAGCCCCGGGCUCAACCUGGGAAUUGCAUUUGAGACUGCAUAGCUAGGGUGCGGAAGAGGGAAGCGGAAUUUCCGGUGUAGCGGUGAAAUGCGUAGAUAUCGGAAGGAACACCAGUGGCGAAAGCGGCUUCCUGGUCCAGCACCGACGUUCAGGCACGAAAGCGUGGGGAGCAAACAGG
rnacentral:rRNA from 1 species